UACGUAGGGAGCGAGCGUUGUUCGGAGUUACUGGGCGUAAAGGGUGUGUAGGCGGUUGUUUAAGUUUGGUGUGAAAUCUCCCGGCUCAACUGGGAGGGUGCGCCGAAUACUGAAUGACUUGGAGUGCGGGAGAGGAAAGUGGAAUUCCUGGUGUAGCGGUGAAAUGCGUAGAUAUCAGGAGGAACACCAGUGGCGAAAGCGGCUUCCUGGUCCGACACCGACGUUCAGGCACGAAGGCGUGGGGAGCAAACAGG
rnacentral:rRNA from 1 species